CAGACUACUGUGACAACAACUGUACACUGGCUACAUACAAGACAAAAGCUUUAGAAGACACCAAAGCAUAUGCAACACAUUCUCUAGCUAUCAAAUAAAUGCACUGGCCAACAAUGUACUCCAACUGGUGGACAUCCAGUCCUCUUACCUUCAGAAAACACAGUCUUCCAUCAAUCAUACCUCAUAGAUUGUGUAUAUUGAUAAAGAGAAAGUAUCUCAAAGAGAGAUUGGUAUUUUGACCAAAAAUAAGAAUACAUCAAGAACUCACAAAAUACUAGCACCUGCAAAUAUGGAGCACACUGUAAGAUAUAUUUGGAAAUCUAUCAACUACACAGCUCUGGAUGAUGUGGGCCAUGGUGUCAAGCAUGGAAAUAACCAGUCUGCCAGAACUGUCACACUGUUGAGAACAAAUCCUCCUACUCAGAAAUCAACAAGUCCUCCCAUGUCUCAG
rnacentral:lncRNA from 1 species